rnacentral:rRNA from 1 species
GACGAACGCUGGCGGCGUGCCUAAUACAUGCAAGUAGAACGCACAGUUUAUACCGUAGCUUGCUACACCAUAGACUGUGAGUUGCGAACGGGUGAGUAACGCGUAGGUAACCUGCCUGGUAGCGGGGGAUAACUAUUGGAAACGAUAGCUAAUACCGCAUAAUAUUGAUUAUUGCAUGAUAAUUGAUUGAAAGAUGCUAUUGCAUCACUACCAGAUGGACCUGCGUUGUAUUAGCUAGUAGGUGAGGUAACGGCUCACCUAGGCGACGAUACAUAGCCGACCUGAGAGGGUGAUCGGCCACACUGGGAGUGAGACACGGCCCAGACGCCUACGGGAGGCAGCAGUAGGGAAUCUUCGGCAAUGGACGAAAGUCUGACCGAGCAACGCCGCGUGAGUGAAGAAGGUGUUCGGAUCGUAAAGCUCUGUUGUAAGAGAAGAACGGGUGUGAGAGUGGAAAGUUCACACUGUGACGGUAUCUUACCAGAAAGAGACGGCUAACUACGUG